AACGAACGCUGGCGGCAUGCCUAACACAUGCAAGUCGAACGAGACCUUCGGGUCUAGUUGCGCAUGGGUGCGUAGCGCGUGGGAACCUGCCCUUAGGUUCCGAAUACUUCCCUUUAGGGGGUGCUAAUACCGGAUAAUUUCUUCGAACCCAAGAUUUAUCGCCUUUGUAUGGGCCCGCGUUGGUUUCGCUUGUUGGGAGGGUAAAAGCCUACCAAGGCUUGGAUCCAUAGCUGGUCUGAGAGGAUGAUCAGCGACACUGGGACUGAGCCACGGCCCAGACUACUAGGGGAGGGAGGAGAGGGGGAUAUUGGACAACGGGCGAAAGGAUGAUCCAGCAAUGCCGGGUGAGUGAUGAAGGCCUUAGGGUUGUACAGCUCUUUUACCCGGGAUGAUAAUGACAGUACCGGGAGAAUAAGCACCGGCUAACUCCGUG
rnacentral:rRNA from 1 species